CCCGGCUCCAGUUGUACUGCGGGGUUUUGUCCACUGGAAAAGCCGCUUUAAGUCGGGCUGUUUCCUGCCUGCUCUGCCUCCUUGUUCUUGCUCCCUCGUCGGGGCUCGCUGUCCCCGCGGUUGUGGGAGUGCAGCUGUUGUUCGUGGGCUGAGUUGUAAAUUGGAUCAGUGAAACAUCUGAGUCUUUCUGCGCGUGUGUAUCUGGAUCAUCUCACUCUUUCGACUUCCAACGUGGCGCACGGAGCUGGAUGAGCAGCUGAGGAGCAGCGAGCAGAGGCGCGGAGUGGGAAGCAGCAGGAAGCAGCAGGAAGCCCUUCAGCCGGCUCUGUGAGCAGACAGAGGGACCCUGUGCCCGUACAGAGCCACCCGAGCACCCACACCAGCCAGCCGGGAGAGAGAACCGGGAUACGCCGCAGUCUGUCCCAGAGUGGCUCUUCAAUUGCUGCAGAUAAUCCUUUAUCUUUAGGAAGAAAAGGGCUGGUCCCUUAAUAAGCUCUUUCCCCCAGACGUCUGCUCUUCAUUGGAGACACCGAAAUCGCAGGCUCUUUAGCGAUUCAGAAUACGAUCGUGUGAAUCCUACUGGGCUUAUAAAACAUGUUGCUCUUUCAGUGCUGUUAGAAACACUAAUAAUAACUUGUUCAUGCAUUGGGCCUUGGGUGCUACUGUCAGUUAGUGUCAGAACAGAGAUUUGUUUAAACAAAUUAUUUCCGUAUACACUUCUUUCCCUUACCCUUUGGAAAGUAGAGCUUCAUGACCAAGUAGACCUGUUUCAGUGACACCUGUCUGCAUGAGUGGUCAAAUUUGGGGCACGGAAAGAAAAUGCUAUCCCUGCCUUCACAGCUCUCUAUAUCCUUCAGUUAAAGGAUCUGCCCCUCUGCAGAGCCUACAUAGAGGAUUAAAAACUCUUCUCUCAUCUUCUAGCGGUUUAAAUGUCAUGGCUGAGUCACAGGAAAAAAUACUAAUACUUCCCAGCAGGAGUCAUUUUAGGCAGUGAUGAAAAAGCCAUGUGUAAUCUUUUACCUUCCCCUCUACCUUUGUGGCAGAGUUUGCAAUAGUGAGAUUUAAAUCUUCAUCACCAGUCUCCCAGCUCACCUGCCUGUGAUGUCUCACAGGCUCAUAGAGAGGCCAAGCAUUGCUGAAUUUUAUUAUGUUUGUUCUAUAUUUUAAAUCUUUCUCUGAAGGAAAGAGAGAGAACUGACUUGUAUAUUAACUGAUUCUUUUUAUAUUGGAGAGGUCUAAUGUGACUUUAAUUGAAGUGCUGGAGAAGGGGGAAGUACUCUUCAUUACUCUCAUGACUUUAAAGAAGAAAACUGAAGGAGAUUUCAUUAUUAUGGAAGCACUUAUAGCAUUUAAAUAGUAUUUUCAGCAUUUUCUUCCCAAAAUUUCAGCAUUUAUGCUUGGAGUACAGAACAAUUUUAAUGGAAACAUUUAAACUAAUCUCAUAGUAUAGAAUUUCUUAAAAAUCCCUUUUGGAAAUGUUCAGUGCAGUAUUAGGCCUUCUGUUCCAAUGGUUUAAGGAGCAGAAUAAAAAUGAGUUUCCAAUUUCUCACAUUGUUAAAACCAACGGAAAAAAAAUUAACUAUGCUAACCUAAAUUAAGAGAUCUCUUAAAUAU